CCUACGGGAGGCAGCAGUGAGGAAUAUUGGUCAAUGGGCGCGAGCCUGAACCAGCCAAGUCGCGUGAGGGAAGACGGCCCUACGGGUUGUAAACCCCUUUUGCCGGGGAGCAACGGGCGCCACGUGUGGCGCCACUGAGAGUACCCGGAGAAAAAGCAUCGGCUAACUCCGUGCCAGCAGCCGCGGUAAUACGGAGGAUGCGAGCGUUAGCCGGAUUUAGUGGGUGUAAAGGGUGCGUAGGCGGAGCGUAAAGGCAGUGGUAAAAUUGAGGGGCUCAACCCCUUCCCGCCAUUGAAACUGGCGCUCUUGAGUGGGAGAGAAGUAAGCGGAAUGCGUGGUGUAGCGGUGAAAUGCGUAGAUAUCACGCAGAACCCCGAUUGCGAAGGCAGCAUGCCGG
rnacentral:rRNA from 1 species